GCAGUCGUAGCUCAGUUGGUUAGAGCGUCGGUUUGUGGCACCGAAGGUCGGUGGUUCGAAUCCACCCGACUGUACCA
rnacentral:tRNA from 1 species